UACGAAGGGGGCUAGCGUUGCUCGGAAUUACUGGGCGUAAAGGGCGCGUAGGCGGCACUGUUAGUCAGGCGUGAAAUUCCUGGGCUCAACCUGGGGACUGCGCUUGAUACGGCAGAGCUAGAGGAUGGAAGAGGCUCGCGGAAUUCCCAGUGUAGAGGUGAAAUUCGUAGAUAUUGGGAAGAACACCCGUGGCGAAAGCGGCUCUCUGGAACGGUACUGACGCUGAGACGCGAAAGCGUGGGGAGCGAACAGG
rnacentral:rRNA from 1 species